rnacentral:RNase_P_RNA from 1 species
GUGCAGGCCGGGUGACCGCGCGUCUCUCCGGAGACUCGAGGAAAGUCCGGACACCGCAGGGCAGGACGCUGGGGAAACCCCAGGGGGCGAAAGCCGACGGAAAGUGGAACAGAAAGCAAACCGCCGCCGGAGCGUUCUCCGGAGGUUCCGGCGGUAAGGGUGAAACGGUGGGGCAAGAGCCCACCAGCGCCGUGGUGACACGGCGGCUCGUCAAACCCCGUCCGGUGCAAGGUGAAGCAGAUCCCGCUGACGCGGCCCGCCGAGGGAUCGGGUACACCGCUCGAGCCGGGGGGAGACCUCCGGCCUAGAUGGAUGGUCACCCUCGACAGAAUCCGGCUUACAGGCCUGCUACAGGA